GACCGCACGGGAUAAUCGAUUUUCCCGUGCGGUCGUGUUAAGUCGACCACAAGGGAUAAUCGAUUAUCCCGUGCGGUC
rnacentral:pre_miRNA from 17 species